rnacentral:rRNA from 1 species
AGAGUUUGAUCCUGGCUCAGGAUGAACGCUAGCUACAGGCUUAACACAUGCAAGUCGAGGGGAAACGAUAUUGGAAGCUUGCUUCCGAUAGGCGUCGACCGGCGCACGGGUGAGUAACGCGUAUCCAACCUGCCCACCACUUGGGGAUAACCUUGCGAAAGUAAGACUAAUACCCAAUGACGUCUCUAGAAGACAUCUGAAGGAGAUUAAAGAUUUAUCGGUGAUGGAUGGGGAUGCGUCUGAUUAGCUUGUUGGCGGGGUAACGGCCCACCAAGGCAACGAUCAGUAGGGGUUCUGAGAGGAAGGUCCCCCACAUUGGAACUGAGACACGGUCCAAACUCCUACGGGAGGCAGCAGUGAGGAAUAUUGGUCAAUGGGCGAGAGCCUGAACCAGCCAAGUAGCGUGCAGGAAGACGGCCCUAUGGGUUGUAAACUGCUUUUAUAAGGGAAUAAAGUUAGUCUCGUGAGACUUUUUGCAUGUACCUUAUGAAUAAGGACCGGCUAAUUCCGUGCCAGCAGCCGCGGUAAAACGUAGGUCACAAGCGUUGUCCGGAAUUACUGGGUGUAAAGGGAGCGCAGGCGGGAAGACAAGUUGGAAGUGAAAUCCAUGGGCUCAACCCAUGAACUGCUUUCAAAACUGUUUUUCUUGAGUAGUGCAGAGGUAGGCGGAAUUCCCGGUGUAGCGGUGGAAUGCGUAGAUAUCGGGAGGAACACCAGUGGCGAAGGCGGCCUACUGGGCACCAACUGACGCUGAGGCUCGAAAGUGUGGGUAGCAAACAGGAUUAGAUACCCUGGUAGUCCACACUGUAAACGAUGAUUACUAGGUGUUGGAGGAUUGACCCCUUCAGUGCCGCAGUUAACACAAUAAGUAAUCCACCUGGGGAGUACGACCGCAAGGUUGAAACUCAAAGGAAUUGACGGGGGCCCGCACAGGCAGUGGAGUAUGUGGUUUAAUUCGACGCAACGCGAAGAACCUUACCAAGUCUUGACAUCCUGCGACGCACAUAGAAAUAUGUGUUUCCUUCGGGACGCAGAGACAGGUGGUGCAUGGUUGUCGUCAGCUCGUGUCGUGAGAUGUUGGGUUAAGUCCCGCAACGAGCGCAACCCUUAUGGUCAGUUACUACGCAAGAGGACUCUGGCCAGACUGCCGUUGACAAAACGGAGGAAGGUGGGGAUGACGUCAAAUCAUCAUGCCCUUUAUGACUUGGGCUACACACGUACUACAAUGGCGUUAAACAAAGAGAAGCAAGACCGCGAGGUGGAGCAAAACUCAGAAACAACGUCCCAGUUCGGACUGCAGGCUGCAACUCGCCUGCACGAAGUCGGAAUUGCUAGUAAUCGCAGAUCAGCAUGCUGCGGUGAAUACGUUCCCGGGCCUUGUACACACCGCCCGUCACACCAUGAGAGCCGGGGGGACCCGAAGUCGGUAGUCUAACCGCAAGGAGGACGCCGCCGAAGGUAAAACUGGUGAUUGGGGUGAAGUCGUAACAAGGUA